GGUGAUAAACCAGCUAGCAACUAGCUGAGUGGCUCUGGGACAGCUGGUGAAGCAAUUUGUGCUUUAAGCUUCUCAUCUGUAAAAUAAGGGGGCAGUUGCUGUCAUUGUUCCAGGACUGGAGUUCUUGACCUUAGCCGUACACUGGAAUCAUCUGGAAUGCUUUAAAUACCUCCCUGCUGACUCUGCAUCCCUGUGGGCUCGUGGAGUAAGGGGCAUGUGAAGCAGAAUAGCAUCACUUUGGAUGAGUGGAGACAGGACAACAUUCAUUGAAUACCUCUUAACUGAUAAAACUGACAGUCUCAGUCCUGGCUUCAGAUUUGAAUCACCUGGGAAGAUUUAAAAGCACUACCCUGGAGCAUCGAAAUCAGAAUCUCUGGGGACGGAGCCCAGACGUCAGUAUUUUCAAGAGUUCCCCAGGAGACUGCAAUGAACAGCCCUGGUCAACAUCAAACAAAGGAAGAAUUGAUGCGUUCUUUGGAUACUCAAGAAAAAAAGAGAAAUGAUGGUGGACAAACACCUUCUGGAAGAGUGGAAUAGGAAGGCAGCACUUUCUACACUUGCAGAUAACUCUGCAUUAGAAUAUUACCUAUUCGUGAGAAAUCUAAGGAUGACAAAAAUGAACCAGAAAGGCUUUCUUUGAAACAAAAACUCUACCUCAGUAUCAUUAAAAGAAAAAAAAAAAUCCUGGGGAGGGGGAGGAAUUCUUUAGUUCCUAAAGGAAAAAUGUUAAAAAAUAUCUUCUCAAAGUCAUCAAUGAAGAGACGGCAUUAUUUGAAGAUAGGAGAGUCAGAAAGCAAAUAUGCUAGUUUUAUAUGCCUUCCUGACGUUCACAGACCAGAGUUUCCAGGGGCUGGAUAAUUCUGCAAAAGUACUCUGGAGUUUCAACAAUGACAUGAUUGUCAUUUUUGUUUUUUAAGAUCACAGUUUUUUUAAAC
rnacentral:lncRNA from 1 species